rnacentral:rRNA from 1 species
UAGGGAAUCUUCGGCAAUGGGGGGAACCCUGACCGAGCAACGCCGCGUGAGUGAAGAAGGUUUUCGGAUCGUAAAGCUCUGUUGUUAAGGAAGAACGAGUGUGAGAAUGGAAAGUUCAUGCUGUGACGGUACUUAACCAGAAAGGGACGGCUAACUACGUGCCAGCAGCCGCGGUAAUACGUAGGUCCCGAGCGUUGUCCGGAUUUAUUGGGCGUAAAGCGAGCGCAGGCGGUUAGAAAAGUCUGAAGUGAAAGGCAGUGGCUCAACCAUUGUAGGCUUUGGAAACUGUUUAACUUGAGUGCAGAAGGGGAGAGUGGGAUUCCAUGUGUAGCGGUGAAAUGCGUAGAUAUAUGGAGGAACACCGGUGGCGAAAGCGGCUCUCUGGUCUGUAACUGACGCUGAGGCUCGAAAGCGUGGGGAGCGAACAGG